rnacentral:rRNA from 1 species
AUGGUGAAGGCAAUUGUCAAUAAUGUAGAGACUCAGUACUAUGGUGUUCUAAAAGAAGUUCUGGAGUUGCGGUACCCCAAAAACAAGCAUGGAGAAAGGUCGAUCUUUUUGUUUCGUGGUGAUUGGUUUGAUCUCCAUGGCAAGGCGACCGGCAUGAAAGAUGAUGGUUACUUCAAAAGUCUUAAUGUUAAGGCGCUUCGAUACAAGAAGGAUCCUUUUAUCUUGGCUUCUCAAGCAGAACAAGUGUUUUACAUGGAGGACACAAAAUAUGGAAAGGACUGGAAUGUGGUGCAGACUUUCAGUCAUAGACAUUUGUACGAUGUCCCUGAACUGGAGACAGGCGAGCUCAAUGCUACAGAUGCAUACCAGGAAGAAAUGCCCUCG